GUGCUCGCUUCGGCAGCACAUAUACUAAAAUUGGAACGACACAGAGAAGAUUACCAUGGCCUGCGCAAGGAUGACACGCAAAUUCGCGAAGAGUUCAAUAUUAAA
rnacentral:snRNA from 1 species